GAUGAAGAACGUAGCGAAAUGCGAUAAGUAAUGUGAAUUGCAGAAUUCAGUGAAUCAUCGAAUCUUUGAACGCACCUUGCGCCCUUUGGCCAUUCCGAAGGGCAUGCCUGUUUGAGUAUCAUGAACACCUCAACUCUUUAUGGUUUUCCAUGAUGAGCUUGGACUCUGGGGGUUUUGCUGGCUCACAGUCGGCUCCUCUAAAAUGAAUCAGCUUACCAGUGUUUGGUGGGUAUCAUGGGUGUGAUAACUAUCUACGCUUGUGGUUUUUCCACCAGGUAACCUUCAGCAGUGGAGGUUCGCUGGAGCUCAUAGAUGUCUCUCCUCAGUGAGGACAGCCCUUUGAAUGUUUGAUCUCAAAUCAGGUAGGACUACCCGCUGAACUUAAGCAUAUCAAAAGCGGAGGA
rnacentral:misc_RNA from 1 species